GACGAACGCUGGCGGCGUGCUUAACACAUGCAAGUCGAACGGAGUGGCGAACGGGUGAGUAACCCGUGGGUGAUCUGCCUUGCACUUCGGGAUAAGCUUGGGAAACUGGGUCUAAUACCGGAUAGUGCAAGAUGAGCUCGCGGCCUAUCAGCUUGUUGGUGGGGUACUGGCCUACCAAGGCGUCGACGGGUAACCGGCCUGCGAGGGUGGACGGCAACAGUGGGACGGAGAGACUGCCCAGACCGCUACGGGAGGCAGCAGGGGGGAAUAUUGCACAAUGGGCGGAAGCCUGAUGCAGAGACGCCGCGUGGGGGAUGAAGGCCUUCGGGUUGUAAACUCAUUUCGACAGGGACGCGGUACCUGUAUAAGAAGCCCCGGCUAACUACGUGCCAGCAGCCGCGGUAAUAC
rnacentral:rRNA from 1 species